rnacentral:rRNA from 1 species
UGGAGACUAUCGUGACUAUCGUAUACCGAACACGGAAGUUAAGACCUCCAGGGCCGAUAAUACUUGGGGCGCAGGCCCCUGGAAACGUAGGUCAUGCUAGGUA